rnacentral:tRNA from 1 species
GGGGUUGUGGCUCAGAGGUAAAGGGCUUACCUAGCAUGAAUGAGGCCUUGGGUUCAAUCCUCAGCACCACA